rnacentral:rRNA from 1 species
GGAAUAUUGGUCAAUGGGCGAGAGCCUGAACCAGCCAAGUAGCGUGCAGGAUGACGGCCCUAUGGGUUGUAAACUGCUUUUAUAUGGGGAUAAAGUGAGGGACGUGUCCCUUUUUGUAGGUACCAUAUGAAUAAGGACCGGCUAAUUCCGUGCCAGCAGCCGCGGUAAUACGGAAGGUCCGGGCGUUAUCCGGAUUUAUUGGGUUUAAAGGGAGCGCAGGCUGAUUGUUAAGCGUGACGUGAAAUGUAGCCGCUCAACGGCUGAACUGCGUCGCGAACUGGCAGUCUUGAGUGAGUACGACGUCAGCGGAAUUCGUGGUGUAGCGGUGAAAUGCUUAGAUAUCACGAAGAACCCCGAUUGCGAAGGCAGCCUUCUGGGGCAUGAUUGACGCUGAGGCUCGAAAGCGCGGGAAUCAAACA